GACUUUCUGUUGAUUAAAUGGGUAUUCUUAAAAUAAUUGUGGGUGCUUCAGGAUUUUUGUGCUUCUAUAUUUAAGUAUAUUGUUUUUAUAGCGAGAACGUGAUUUGGUAUGUGAUUAUGUAGCAAUAAAUGAAGCCUGAAACAGGUGUUUUUUAACUUAUCCUUGAAACCUUAGAAGUUUCUUGGCAAGUCUGCAUAUUUUCAUU
rnacentral:lncRNA from 1 species